rnacentral:rRNA from 1 species
UACAGAGGUCUCAAGCGUUGUUCGGAUUCAUUGGGCGUAAAGGGUGCGUAGGUGGCAGGGUAAGUCAGGUGUGAAAUCUCGGGGCUCAACCCCGAAACUGCAUUUGAUACUGCCUUGCUCGAGUACUGGAGAGGAGAUUGGAAUUUACGGUGUAGCAGUGAAAUGCGUAGAUAUCGUAAGGAAGACCAGUGGCGAAGGCGAAUCUCUGGACAGUUACUGACACUGAGGCACGAAGGCCAGGGGAGCAAACGGG